AUUGAACGCUUGCUGCAGGCCUAACACAUGCAAGUCGAACGAGUGGCGGACGGGUGAGUAAUGUCUGGGAAACUGCCUGAUGGAGGGGGAUAACUAAUGGAAACGGUAGCUAAUACCGCAUACCAUCGGAUGUGCCCAGAUGGGAUUAGCUAGUAGGUGGGGUAACGGCUCACCUAGGCGACGAUACCUAGCUGGUCUGAGAGGAGGACCAGCCACACUGGAACUGAGACACGGUCCAGAGUCCGACGGGAGGCAGCAGUGGGGAAUAUUGCACAAUGGGCGCAAGCCUGAUGCAGACAUGACGCGUGUAUGAAGAAGGCAUGCGGGUUGUAAAGUACUUUCAGCGGGGAGGCGUUACCCGCAGAAGAAGAACCGGCUAACUCCGUGCCAGCAGCCGCGGUAAUAC
rnacentral:rRNA from 1 species